ACAGUCCCCCGAGCGUGACAUUUGGCGUAGUCGUGGACCUGACAUUUAGAGUCUUCAGCAGGAUGAGGAAGGAGAAUCUGGCUUCUAUCACAACUCACUCCUCCCUUCAUCAGCGGCUACAGCUGCGCCAACGGUUGUCACAAAGGCAAGGUGACCACACGUUAAUUGAGUGGCUAAUGGCAGCCAUACGGACUUUUUAGAAUAAUGCCGGAGAGAUACCAAAAACUGUGAGUAAACGGCAAUCGUGUACUGAUUUGGUGCAGAUACUCUGGGAGAUGCGGCAGGCUGUGUUUGAUCUGCAAACCCAGGGGCCAAAUAAUGAACGCUUUACCUCCCACGUGAGGGUUCUUGUGCUGGGCUCAGCGCCCCCCAGUGCUUUUGGCUCUGUAGCUGCUGUUCUCACUCCAUAUGUGGGGCGCUGCAUACAUGAAAUGACUACUGCUGUGGCAGCCCUUGGGGAGCAGAAGGCGGUCGGUGGAACCGGAAAGUCCGCGCCAUAAAGAAGGGGAAGGUGCCCCGCCCCCACCGGUAGCCACCCCACGAGAUAAAAAGGGGCCCCAGUGGGUGGCUUUCAUGCAGAUGUGGAUUUAAUUGCAGCUGGGGUUGCUUGGGAGAAAACUGACAGGCGACCCAAUGGAAUGCUGUUGGCUCUGUGGAGGCAAUUGUCCCCGGAGCAACAAUUUCAGAGAAUGCCCAAGAAGAGACAAAACAAUGUUGUUCAACCUACUCCCGCCUGGACAUUGCAACUCAAGGACUAUUUGCAGACAGGUGGAGAUACAGGGCCUUUCCUGUUUGAUUAGGGAACUGGCCCAGGUGCCCGGCCCGAGCGGGCGCCUGAUGACCCUAGUCUAUAUGUAGAGCUGGUAAUCCACUCGUCCCCAACUAAUGUACAGUGGGUCCUAGCACUGGUAGAUACUGGUGCACACUGCUGUCUUCUUUAUGGGAAGCCGGAUAAGUUUCCGGGCAAAGCUGCUUUCACUCACGGUUAUGGGGGCCAGUCAGUGAAGGUGAAACCUGCGUUCCUGCAUCUUGGCAUUGGCUGCUUGGCCCCCCACCUGUACACUGUGUAUGUCUCUCCCAUACCUGAAUAUAUUCUGGGGGUGAACAUUUUGCAUGGUCUGGACUUAUACACCAUGGCCGGAGAAUUCAGACUCCCAGUUCAUGUAGCAAAGCUGGUACUGCGGGGACAUACACAUCAUUAGCCCCAAGUUCUGCCACAACCCCGAUGGGUUACCUCCACUCGUCAAUACCUUUUGCCAGGGAGGCAUACCGAUAUAACUGAGACUAUUCAGAAGUUAGAAGAGGUGCAAAUAGUGCGUGGCACCCAUAGCCCCUACAAUUCCUCGGUAUGGCCGGUCAGAAAGCCUGAUGGGUCUUGGCGGAUGACAGCGGAUUAUUGGAAACUGAAUAACACCCUCACUGCAUGCAACUGUACCCUCCAUCACAGAUUUGAUGAAUCGCUUGACAACAGAACUGGGACAGUACCACUGUGUGGUGGACUUGACCAAUGCAUUCCUCUCAAUAAACAUUGCUCCAGAGAGCCAGGAACAGUUUGUCUUCAUAGGAGGGCGAUGAUGGACUUUCACAGUGUUGCUGCAGGGCUAUAUGCAUAGCCCCACCAUAUAUCACGGUCUUAUUAAUGAUGUUAUGCUCCCCUCUGAUUCUCUUGCAGAUUUAGAAGUGGCAACACCACUCUUGCUUGGGAUUGGAUGAUGUGGCUGAGAGAGUCUUUCUGGCACAUAGGUUAUUUAGCAGGCACAAGCCCAAUGGGUAGUCGACUAGAGGUGCCCAUUUAAGCUAGAUGUGCAUGUCACCACAAAUGAGUUUCAGUUAGGGCUUAUAGCAGCACAUGGAGUGCCUGAGCAUGCCAAUAGGCUUUUGGUCCCAACUAUGGAAGGGAGCUGAGCUCCAGUAUUUCUUGGUAGAGAAGCAGUUAGUAACAGCAGGAUGGGUGUGUUCAUGGGUAACCACCCCCUCAGCUGGGAAAACAGUAACUGCAUAUGCUGCCCUUUAGGCUCCCAAAAGUGUGGCAGGAUGGGUUACAGUCAUCGUAUGGGCCACUUACCUAGUAGCGGGAGGGGUGUGUUCAUGGGGAACAACCCCCCAGACAGGGAAGGCACAGACAUCCACUUUAGCAAAGUGGGGUGCCUACUUGGAGCAGCAAAGUAUGCCAAGUCCCUUAGCAGCAAAGUUGCAAAAAGUCUUGGGACCUGUAGUCCUAAUGCAAAAUAAGACUGUGGGGCCUAAGGCAUCCCUAGACCCUAUGCUUUCACCAUUAGGAAGAGCGUCCCCCCAUUCCUAAUAGGGCAUGGUAUACAGAUGGGUCUAGCCAAGGUGCUACUGCUGCCUCGACUGUUGUUGCAGUCCAGCCUAGUACUGACACCAUAUGGUUUAAAACCAGUGUACGCAAAGUGGCUAAUGAGCUAAACUCACAGCAAUGUAAAUGGUAAUCACCAAGAAGGUAACACUUAUGGUAAUCUGUGCCAAUAGCUGGGCAGUUUAUCACAGCUUAUGUAUGUGUCAAACCUGUGUAUAUACAUUGGGCCUGCGUGCCCAAUGCUUAUGGGUCAGGCUUAUGUGUCAAGCCUAUGUGUAUGUAUUGGGUUUGCAUGCCCAAAGUUUAUAUAUCAGGCCUGUGUGCCAAACCUGUGUAUCAAACCUGUGUGUCCAAGGCCUAUGUCUCCCUCGGCCUAGGGGAUGGAAUGUAAGGUACACGGAUGUGCUUUGGUCAAAGAAUAGACCAAGGCGGAUAUCCAGGCCUGCAGGAAUCAGCAAGUCUGGUGCACAGGUGCAAACCUCCACUUGUUAUAUAACCUGUUUGUAUAAGUUCAUACUUUGCUCUGAGCCACUAUUGCCUGUGAAAGGUAUAAUUGCCCUGCUAAUGCUAUACAGGGGCUCGUGGGCUCGGCUUGGCUCAACAUAGCAGGUGCACUUGUGCCCAGAGAAAGAGAGAGUCAGAGCUAUUCAUCUUGCAGAUGAACAGGAGGGAGCCAGGACAUAGCUCGACUGGCUUGUGCCCAGAGACAGAAAGAGUUAAGCUGCUGACCUGAAAGGCAGGGCAGAGCCGGCUGUGCAGCUGUAUGUGGGAGCCCCUAGCUCAAGCAGCUGAGACAGGGAAGACAGCAUAAAGAGCUAGUGUGAGAAAGUUGUUAAUGAGAGCUGCUGCUGAAUAAAACCAUAUUCACCUGC